rnacentral:lncRNA from 1 species
CUUCCAGCAGUGCAAAGGACAAAAGGCAACUCCAGCCCUGUGCUGACAUGACCUCACUCUCCCAUGCACUGGCUAAGAAGACAGGUCACACCAUACCUUCCCAUUUGCCCUUGGGGCAGGACGUUGUUGGCCCUCCAUAAACUCCAGGGUUGUUUUUUGUGGUCCUAUCAAGCAAAGGUUUGGAAGAAAGCCUGGCAUUGCUCAGAAAACUUAUUUUCAGAGUGAGGCUUUGAAGCAUGUGACAAUGGACUGUUAAGAUGGCUCCGUGAGGAAAGCUGUUUGCUGCCAAGCCUGGUGAGCUGAGUUCCAACCUGGAACCUGGAGGAGGAAACUGAUGCCCAAAACCUGUCCUCUGACCGUCACAUGUGUGCAUACCCUCACUCCACCCCCAAAUAAAUAGAGAUAAAGUAAUUUAAAUAAAU